CAUUUUAUAGGUGAGAAAACUGAAGGCCUGGAUGAUGACCUGACUUGUCCAGAGUCUCAGAGGGAGUUAGAAGUGGAGCAAAGGCAAGAGUCCAGCCCUCCUGACUCUUACCCUGUGCCCUUUCUCUUGGCCUUUACAACUAGUGAGCCAGAAGUUUACAUGGCAAAAGCAAGAGUUUGUUUUCCUUUGCAACACAGAAAUAAUUCGAAGCCAUUUAAGGAGAGACAUCAUGGAUUUGGAGGUUCUUAUCAAAUCAACAUUAUGUUCCUAUUUGGUCUUCCAAGAAGCUGUAUGGGAGAAUAGAAUACACUUCCACAUCUUGCCAGUCUUCAAAAUUGGACCCCAUCAUCCUCUUGUAGAAGUCUUUACUGUUAUUUCAACAUGAGUUCCAGCAUUGUAAAGACCAUAGGCGGAAGACCCUUUAUCACGCCCACAGGAACCACAAAACCUGUUACUUCUUCCAAACACCCAAGGCUUCUUAAUAACCUGGGAAGAUAUUCCAACGUCUCUUGGAUCCUGGUAAGGUCCUACAAGUAUCUGUGAUCCUAAGAAGGUCCUCCUGAAUCUCCCCAGUCUUAGCAACCCAGAAAUACUUUCCUCCUCAAGACACUUACAUGCACACAUUAUAACAGUGUAUGCAUAUCCAUAGCAAAAUUGCAAAUUAAUCACAAGCAACCAAAAAAGACAACUCUAAGCAUCAGCAAUAUCAACAGGCCUUUUUAGUAACAAUACAUGUAUAAUUGUUAAUGUUUAUGCAAAUACCAGCAAAUCAUGCAUCCAGAUUUUGCUAUCGUAAAUAUAAGACAUCAGCAAUAAUUAACACAUGUAUCAAAAU
rnacentral:lncRNA from 1 species